GCAUGCAGUCGAGGGAGAAGCAUUUGUUCCGUAAGGUUCAGAUGUGGAAACCGGCGAACGGGUGAGUAUCACGUGAGAAACCUGCCCCCUAGACCGGGAUAGCCCGAGGAAACUCGGAUUAAUACCGGAUACUCUCUUUGGAUCGCAUGAUCCUUUGAGGAAACAGUCCGCUGCUAGGGGAUGGUCUCGCGGCCUAUCAGGUAGUUGGUGAGGUAACGGCUCACCAAGCCUACGACGGGUAGCUGGUCUGAGAGGACGAUCAGCCACACUGGAACUGAGAUACGGUCCAGACUCCUACGGGAGGCAGCAGCAGGGAAUAUUGCACAAUGGGCGAAAGCCUGAUGCAGCGACACCGCGUGCGGGAUGACGGCCUUCGGGUUGUAAACCGCCUUCAGGAGGGACGAAAAUGACGGUACCUCCAGAAGAAGCUCCGGCCAACUACGUGCCAGCAGCCGCGGUAAUACGUAGGGAGCAAACGUUGUCCGGAUUUAUUGGGCGUAAAGGGCUCGUAGGCGGUUCAGCAAGUCGGUCGUGAAAGCCCGGGGCUCAACCCCGGGAUGCCGGUCGAAACUGUUGUGACUAGAGUUCGGUAGAGGUGAGUGGAAUUCUCAGUGUAGCGGUGGAAUGCGCAGAUAUUGAGAGGAACACCAUUAGCGAAGGCGGCUCACUGGGCCGAUACUGACGCUGAGGAGCGAAAGCGUGGGGAGCAAACAGGAUUAGAUACCCUGGUAGUCCACGCCGUAACGAUGAACACUAGGUGUAGCGGAUUUAUUCACGUCUGCUGCGCCGUAGC
rnacentral:rRNA from 1 species